UACGUAGGCAGCGAGCGUUGUUCGGAAUUACUGGGCGUAAAGAGUGUGUAGGCGGUGCUCUAAGUUCUGUGUGAAAUCUCCUGGCUUAACUGGGAGGGUGCGCCGGAAACUGGAGUGCUCGAGCGUGGGAGAGGAAAGCGGAAUUCCUGGUGUAGCGGUGAAAUGCGUAGAUAUCAGGAGGAACACCUGUGGUGUAGACGGCUUUCUGGACCAUAGCUGACGCUGAGACACGAAAGCGUGGGUAGCAAACAGG
rnacentral:rRNA from 1 species